rnacentral:rRNA from 1 species
UACGUAGGGUGCAAGCGUUGUCCGGAAUUAUUGGGCGUAAAGAGCUCGUAGGCGGCUUGUCGCGUCUGCUGUGAAAACUCGGGGCUUAACUCCGGGCCUGCAGUGGGUACGGGCAGACUAGAGUGCGGUAGGGGAGACUGGAAUUCCUGGUGUAGCGGUGAAAUGCGCAGAUAUCAGGAGGAACACCGGUGGCGAAGGCGGGUCUCUGGGCCGUAACUGACGCUGAGGAGCGAAAGCGUGGGGAGCGAACAGG